UCCACACACAGAGUUCUUGGAGGAGCCUUCACCAUGGCCUGGACGCUGCUCCUGUUCCAGCUCCUUACUCUCUGCAUAGGUUCGAUGGCUGCCUAUGUGGUCACUCAGCCACCCUCAGUGUCCAUGUCUCUGGGAGAACAAGUCAGCCUGUCCUGUGAUGGGGAUGGUAUUGGUAGCUAUGCUGUAUCCUGGUACCAGCAGAAGCCUGGCCAAGCCAUUCUACCACUUAUUUAUGGUGAUAGCUACCGGCCUGAAGGGAUCCCUGAGCGAUUCUCUGGCUCCAACUCGGGGAACACAGCCACGCUAAGCAUCUCUGGGCUCCAGGCUGAGGAUGAGGCCGAUUAUUUCUGCAUGGCGUAUCAUGGUAGUAGUGGUGUACACAGUGACACAGACUGAUGGGGAAGUGAGACAAAAACCCCUGCCAGGCUCUGCUCACACAGCGCCCUUCCUCCUGGAGAAGUGGCUGGUGAAGACAGACAUCAACAACUUCUCCUUCAGGCCUCUCUUAUUCCCCAACUCCUUUCACAGCCAGAAGCAGAGCCAUUAUCAAACGUUUAUUGGCAUUCAUUAAUGUGAUGUUCUGGGACUGUG